AGUGAACGCUGGCGGUAGGCCUAACACAUGCAAGUCGAACGGCAGCACAGUAAGAGCUUGCUCUUACGGGUGGCGAGUGGCGGACGGGUGAGGAAUACAUCGGAAUCUACUUUUUCGUGGGGGAUAACGUAGGGAAACUUACGCUAAUACCGCAUACGACCUACGGGUGAAAGCAGGGGAUCUUCGGACCUUGCGCUAUUGAAUGAGCCGAUGUCGGAUUAGCUAGUUGGCGGGGUAAAGGCCCACCAAGGCGACGAUCCGUAGCUGGUCUGAGAGGAUGAUCAGACACACUGGAACUGAGACACGGUCCAGACUCCUACGGGAGGCAGCAGUGGGGAAUAUUGGACAAUGGGAGAAAGCCUGAUACAGCCAUACCGCGUGGGUGAAGAAGGCCUUCGGGUUGUAAAGCCCUUUUGUUCGGAAAGAAAAGCAGCAGGUUAAUACCCCGCUGUUAUGACGGUACCCAAAGAAUAAGCACCGGCUAACUUCGUG
rnacentral:rRNA from 1 species